rnacentral:rRNA from 1 species
AUUGAACGCUGGCGGCAGGCCUAACACAUGCAAGUCGAACGAGGCCUUCGGGCUUAGUGGCGGACGGGUGAGUAACACGUGGGAACGUACCUUUUGGUUCGGAACAACUCAGGGAAACUUGAGCUAAUACCGGAUGAGCCCUUAGGGGGAAAGAUUUAUCGCCGAAAGAGCGGCCCGCGUUAGAUUAGCUAGUUGGUGAGGUAAAGGCUCACCAAGGCAACGAUCUAUAGCUGGUCUGAGAGGAUGAUCAGCCACACUGGGACUGAGACACGGCCCAGACUCCUACGGGAGGCAGCAGUGGGGAAUCUUGCGCAAUGGGCGAAAGCCUGACGCAGCCAUGCCGCGUGAAUGAUGAAGGUCUUAGGAUUGUAAAAUUCUUUUACCAGGGACGAUAAUGACGGUACCCGGAGAAAAAGCCCCGGCUAACUUCGUGCCAGCAGCCGCCGCGGUAA